GAACAUUUGCGGAAGUUCGCGUUCGCCGUUCGCGAACCGAAAAUUUCGUGUUCGCGACAUCACUAGUUAAAAGCAGUUCAUAUAUAAAAAUAAAAGAAAAACACCCUUAUCAGUCUAAUGUCAUAACUAGUGAUGUCACGAACCCGAAAUUUUCGGUUCGCGAACGGCGAACGCGAACUUCCGCAAAUGUUC